rnacentral:rRNA from 1 species
AGGCAAGACUGCGAAGUGGAGCAAANCCCUAAAAGCCAUCUCAGUUCGGAUUGCAGGCUGCAACUCGCCUGCAUGAAGUUGGAAUCGCUAGUAAUCGCGAAUCAGAAUGUCGCGGUGAAUACGUUCCCGGGUCUUGUACACACCGCCCGUCACACCACGAGAGUUUACAACACCCGAAGUCAGUGGCCUAACCGCAAGGAGGGAGCUGCCUAAGGUGGGGUAGAUGAUUGGGACUAAGUCGUAACAAGGUAUC